GAACCUAAAGGCAAGAAUAUAACAGAUGAGAUUUGGGGUCUCCAUUUUGGAAAAGGCUGGUCUUUCUGCUUGCUUGCUACAAUUAUGAAGUCACUGAACACUGUUGUGUACUUUUACAUUAAGGCUCCAGAUGCUAGCGUGAUACUGACCAGACUUCCCUGGACAGACAACCCCAACAAUGUGUCCUGGAGCUCCGCUUCCCCAGAGACCCACCCCACUAGGGAAAGAGAGAGGCAGGCUGGGAGUAUGGAUCCACCUGGCAACACCCAUAUUCAGUGGGGAAGCAAUUACAGAAGCCAGACCUUCCACCUUCUGCAUCCCACAAUGACCUUCGGUCCAUACUCCCAGAAGGUUAAAGAAUAGGAAAGCUAUCAGGAGAUGGGAUGGGAUAUGGAGUUCUGAUGGCGGGAAUUGUGUAGAGUUGUACCCCUCUUAUCCUAUGGUUUUGUCAAUGUUUCCUUUUUACAAAAAAAAAAAAAAAAGAUAAUAACUGACCAUGAACAGAAAAAAAAAAGCCUCUUUUGUUCUUUUUCUUCCUUGUAGGUUAUGGGAGCCUCAGGGCUUUUAAACUAUAAAUAGGCUUCUUAGCUUAAUCCCUCACUCCUGACCAAGAGAUAAAGCAGGGUGUGGGAGAAAUAGCACAGUGGUUAUGCAGAGACUCUCACAUCUGAAGGAUUCAAAGCUCUGGGCUCAAUUCAGCUUCUCUGUUCAUCUGGGCAACAUUACUGGGCCCUGUGAGUUUCUAAACAGGCCGUUUAUAGUCUGUAGGUUCUGAGGUAACUAUUCACUAUGUUCUCAUCAGGAGAACAACAUGGAAAGUCUCCUACAGCACAACCUCACUGCUAGGCCACCGAGGUAUAGAUCUCCUCCUGAGUUUCCUGGUUAGUUCUCUGCCCACUGGUGUCGGCACAGGGCCUCCCCACUGCUUUUCCCACCUCUGAGGGAAGUAGCAAUGGAGACUCACAGUUGCACUUGGUAAAUCUUAGGGGAUUCCUCUCUUCCCUUCAGCCGUCUUUUUGUUGGUGAAACAGACUGGAGGUGGUGCCUCAAUUGGUAAACUGCUGGACUAUUACCAGCCACUUAAUCUCUCCCUAGGCUUCUCUUUGUCCACAAGUCACAGGUAUUUGCACUUACUGGUGAUUUGGUGGGUUCCUGAAGUCAUUCUAGUCCUUCCUUGUUGCAAUCCCAGAUGAUCUCCUUUGGUAUUCCUAGUUGACCCAGGAGAGGAGA